rnacentral:rRNA from 1 species
GAUGAACGCUGACAGCAUGCUUAAUACAGAAUAACGGAUUGGGUGGCAGACGGAGUAGUAAAGCGUAAAGAACUUGCUUCGCAGGUAGGGACAAUAUUUGGAAACAAAUGCGAAUACCUAAUACUGUGAUAGAGCUUUGCGUCCCCUUAGCCAGGUGGAGAGGUAACGGCUCACCAAGGCGAUGAUGGGGAGCAGGCGUGAUAGGGUGAUCGGCCACAAGGGCACUGAGAGACGGCCCUUACUCAUACGGGAGGCAGGAGUGGGGAAUAAUGAAAAAUGGACCAAAGUCUGAUACAGCAAUUCUGUGUGAAAGAUGAAGUUUUCGGAAUGUAAAGUGCUUUCAGUUGAGAAGCGGUACCAACAGAAGAAGUGACGGCUAAAUACGUGCCAGCAGCCGCGGUAAUAC